rnacentral:tRNA from 1 species
GAGGGUAUAGCUCAAUGGUAGAGCACAUGCUUAGCAUGCAUGAGGCCAUUGGUUUGAUCUCCAGUACCUCCA